rnacentral:piRNA from 1 species
UGCGAAGCUGAUGGGGAGCCCCGUG